rnacentral:rRNA from 1 species
CCAGACUCCUACGGGAGGCAGCAGUGGGGAAUAUUGGACAAUGGGGGGAACCCUGAUCCAGCGACGCCGCGUGAGUGAAGAAGUAUUUCGGUAUGUAAAGCUCUAUCAGCAGGGAAGAAAGAAAUGACGGUACCUGACUAAGAAGCCCCGGCUAGCUACGUGCCAGCAGCCGCGGUAAUACGUAGGGGGCAAGCGUUAUCCGGAUUUACUGGGUGUAAAGGGAGCGUAGACGGCAGUGCGAGUCUGGAGUGAAAGGCGGGGGCUCAACCCCCGGACUGCUCUGGAAACUGUACGGCUGGAGUGCAGGGGAGGUAAGUGGAAUUCCUAGUGUAGCGGUGAAAUGCGUAGAUAUUAGGAGGAACACCAGUGGCGAAGGCGGCCUGCUGGGCUUUUACUGACGCUGAGGCUCGAAAGUGUGGGGAGCAAACAGGAUUAGAUACCCGUGUACC